rnacentral:rRNA from 1 species
AUUGAACGCUGGCGGCAUGCUUUACACAUGCAAGUCGAACGGUAACAGGCCGCAAGGUGCUGACGAGUGGCGAACGGGUGAGUAAUGCAUCGGAACGUGCCCAGUCGUGGGGGAUAACGCAGCGAAAGCUGCGCUAAUACCGCAUACGAUCUCUGGAUGAAAGCGGGGGACCGAAAGGCCUCGCGCGAUUGGAGCGGCCGAUGUCAGAUUGGGUAGUUGGUGGGGUAAAGGCUCACAAAGCCAACGAUCUGUAGCUGGUCUGAGAGGACGACCAACCACACUGGGACUGAGACACGGCAGAGACUCCUACGGGAGGCAGCAGUGGGGAAUUUUGGACAAUGGGCGCAAGCCUGAUCCAGCAAUGCCGCGUGCAGGAAGAAGGCCUUCGGGUUGUAAACUGCUUUUGUACGGAACGAAACGGUCCGGGCUAAUACCCUGGGCUAAUGACGGUACCGUAAGAAUAAGCACCGGCUAACUACGUGCCAGCAGCCGCAGUAACAC